CUCCUUACAUAUGGAUUUUAAAAUAAAUAAUUAAAAAAAAAUUAAAAAACUAAACUUAAGACAAAACCUAAGAGUCAGAAUCACUGUAAAUUUCUCCUAGAGCCCUUCCUCUUCCCUUUCAUCGAACCCUUGUUCUUCCUUCUCAUCGAGCCAUUGUUCUCCAACCUUUCUUCUCUAGCCUUCCCGUCAUCAAGCCUUUCUUUUCGUCGAGCCAUUUUCUUCGAGCCUUUCCUCUCCCUGUCUGAACUAUCAUCUUCAUUCCUCGAACCAUCAUCUUCAUGUCUCGAACCCCAGGAGUCCCUGCCUCCAAUCGUGGCCCCCUCUCCUUGUGUGGUACCCGUGUUCUUCGUCAAUGAACCCUCGAUUUCUCACAGUGGAGCUCUAGGACUCCUAUUCUCAUACUCUGAGGUCAAUGCCACCCUCUUUCGGUCUCGUGAUUCACUGAGAAGAAGAAGUUUGGUUGUCUAGCCAUCUAUCAGUGUUCGUUGUUGUAGAUUUAGCCAUCUCUUAGUGUUCCUUGUUGUAGAUUUGGUCAGAAGAAGAAGUUUGGUUGUCUAACCUCCACCAUACACCUCUCCCGCGUUAACUUUCUUCUGAAACCCUACCCUAAAAUUGAAAAAUCGGAAAACCCUAACGUGUUUGAAUGAAGGAUUGAAUGAGAAAUGGCGUCGAAGUUCAAAACGUGUUUUGUAUGGUGGAACCUGAGUGGCUUCAACUAUGUUAACCACUCUAAGGGAAAUGGUAGGAUAGUGCGAGUUUCAUUUCCAGGUUCUUGCAAAAUGUAACACCGAACCACUUUCAGUUUGCAGAAUAAGAGGCAAUGGAUCAAGCCUUCCAUUGAGGAAGGUCUCUGUCAAAAUCAAGAUGAGAAAGAAGAUUUAGAGGUUUCAUUCAAUAACUAAGAAACUCCAAGAACUUGUUAUCCAAACGAAAGAAUUGAAGCUUGAUUGAGGGAAUUUGAAUAGGUUUGCUAAGAAGGGAGCCUUAAUGUAUUUGAAUAUCAAUCACAAUAAACAUAUAUGGCCUACAAAGAACAGAGUGAACAUGAGGUUAUUUCUGCAUUUCUUGGUCUUUUAUCCUCUACAACAAGGUAUUCACUUUUAAUUGUAAAUUACAAUUUGAAUAUCUUUUACUGGUUGAUGCAUCUUUUAAUUUUUUAUCUAUAGUCCAGAUUACAUGUUAUUCAUAUUGUAGCAGAGAUGGCACCAGUACCAAAGGUGCACUCAUGUACCCUAAUCAUAGUUAAGAUGAUUCAAAUUCAUUCGAGACUCCUACUCCUACUAGAAGGGGAAAGAAAAUUUGUUGUACAUAUCAAUAUUUACUUUUUCAAUAUUGAUUGUUAAUAGUGAUGGAAUUUCAAUACUGUCUUAGACUGUGAUGGUAAUUUUCUUUUACUCAUUUACAGCAGGGAUCCCAGAGCCACUUCCUUUAAUGGCUCGUCAAGGAAAAUCGUUGAAAGUACUUGGCUUUAGUCAAAAUCAAAGGGCUUAUUUUCUUCAAAUUUUGAUGAGGUUUGGGGUUGGUGAUUAUGAUUGGAAACAGUUUGCUCCCAGGAUGAAACACAAGAGUUAUGAAGAAAUCACAGAAUGGCGUUCCAAAAGAAGGACUUCGAAUACAAGAUAUACUUGUAAGGAUUGCACUUCUGACUAUGAUAUCAGAUAAACAUUAUGAAGAUUAGGAACACAAAUUAGUCUCGUUGUGAGGCUUUCUAUUGAUGAAACUUCUUGACUUGUCAGGAUUUAAUCUCUAGCCACCAUAAAUGGUAGCAAUUCUGGUAUUGUAAUUAAAGUUCAGCUUUAUGCAACUACUAAUGAUAUUGAGUAUUGUUUAAAGUGAAUUAGAUGGUUGUUCUUAUCAUGAUGCAAUAGUAAACAUUUUUUUAUCUUGAACGCUUUACAGGGCUGAUUUCAAAUAUUAUGCUUGUCUAGUUCUUAUUUGGUUGAUGAAGAAGGUGGACCACGCAGUAGAACAAGUAGCAUNAGUGUUUCCCUUUCUAGUCCUGAUGGUCAUAUUAUUGGUGGUGAUGUUGCCAGCCUUAUAGCUACAAGCCCAGUCAAGAUUCCAGAAGAAGAGAAAAAUCUGGAUCCUCAUUAUUGUCUAAUCCAUGUGUAUCAUUUCAUGAAAGGAGUGACGUUGCUACUGCCUUUAGGUAGAAGAUGCUCAAUUUGAUUAAAGUUUACAUGGUAGAUUUCAUUGUCAUGUUUAUUCUUUUGAUUCUUGUGCUACAAUAGAAUGCAAUGCCAAUGUUUAUUCUUUUGCAUUUUUAAGUAGUUUAUGAUUGAUUGAUGUAAUGAUCCUGUAAUAUUACAAUAUUUGUAUUGUUAAUUCGAAA